rnacentral:lncRNA from 10 species
AAGACAUUCAUAAAUAAAAUGCUGGAGAUUUUAGACCUGCUUCAUGCAUAAAAUUGUGGGACCUUUAAACUCCUAUGUAGUAUAUUUUUUGAGGCGACCUAUGUUCAGAGACCAUAAUGUGAAUCAUUCUUGAAAGAUGUCUUAUUUCAUCUACUACACAAUGAACAGAUCUCUGUUUUUGCCAUUGAGUUUCUUUUUUUGCAUUUAGUUCAGUUGUAUCGACGUCUUUUUCUCACUUUCCUUUUCCCCUUUACCUUCUUUGUUUUCUUUACCUUUGCUCUUCUCAUUUCUUUGCUUGCUUAAAGUUUAAAUAUCUCAGGGUUGAGUAGUAUCCUUUACUCUCCUUAUGGCGUUGAAGAAUUUUUUAAAUCGUCUAUUUUAUCAAUAACAAUGUCAAACUAAAAUCUCUCCUUUGGCUAAGGAGUUGCCACAGCACAGGGAUGCAUCAACAUCUGGUGGCUGUUCUUCAACCCUCCAUCAUCGUCACCGUGGUCAUGUCAUUUUAAAAUUCUAUUCUGCUUUCCAGUACUGGGAUGAGUGUAAACUGAUGCUUUAAUCCGCUGCACCCUCUGAGAUUCAGUAUAUACUAACUCAAUUUUGUUUUCAUUGUUCAGAUCUAUAGGCAGCCAGGGACAGAAGAGGUCUCAGAUCCAUCAUUGGCAGGUCCCUCGAGGCUUAGGCAAGCUGCCCAGGGUAGAUGGCGUCUUGACUGCACAUGGCCCAUUUUGCUCCAUAUCUGAGAGACUCCAACAAGGCAUCCCAUCCUGGGUUACGUAUGUCAGGAGCCAUGUGUCCCACUGGGCAAAGCUGUGGAGGACAUUUGGCUUCUAGAGGAGAGAAGAACAAAGCAGUUCUUAACUCAAGAUGUCACAUUCCUCAGCAAAGAGAGGAACAAGCCCUGAG